GGCUGUAGCUUAGUGGUAGGGCCCCUGCUUUGCACACAGAAGGUCUGGGGUUCAAAUCCACUUAGGGCUG